rnacentral:rRNA from 1 species
AGAGUUUGAUCCUGGCUCAGGACGAACGCUGGCGGCGUGCCUAAUACAUGCAAGUGGAACGCACAGAUGAUACGUAGCUUGCUACAAUUAUCUGUGAGUCGCGAACGGGUGAGUAACGCGUAGGUAACCUAGCUUAUAGCGGGGGAUAACUAUUGGAAACGAUAGCUAAUACCGCAUAAAAGUGGUUGACCCAUGUUAACCAUUUAAAAGGAGCAACAGCUCCACUAUGAGAUGGACCUGCGUUGUAUUAGCUAGUUGGUAGGGUAAAGGCCUACCAAGGCGACGAUACAUAGCCGACCUGAGAGGGUGAACGGCCACACUGGGACUGAGACACGGCCCAGACUCCUACGGGAGGCAGCAGUAGGGAAUCUUCGGCAAUGGGGGGAACCCUGACCGAGCAACGCCGCGUGAGUGAAGAAGGUUUUCGGAUCGUAAAGCUCUGUUGUUAGAGAAGAACAGUGAUGGGAGUGGAAAGUCCAUCAUGUGACGGUAACUAACCAGAAAGGGACGGCUAACUACGUGCCAGCAGCCGCGGUAAUACGUAGGUCCCGAGCGUUGUCCGGAUUUAUUGGGCGUAAAGCGAGCGCAGGCGGUUUGAUAAGUCUGAAGUUAAAGGCAGUGGCUUAACCAUUGUAUGCUUUGGAAACUGUUAAACUUGAGUGCAGAAGGGGAGAGUGGAAUUCCAUGUGUAGCGGUGAAAUGCGUAGAUAUAUGGAGGAACACCGGUGGCGAAAGCGGCUCUCUGGUCUGUAACUGACGCUGAGGCUCGAAAGCGUGGGGAGCAAACAGGAUUAGAUACCCUGGUAGUCCACGCCGUAAACGCUGAGUGCUAGGUGUUAGGCCCUUUCCGGGGCUUAGUGCCGGAGCUAACGCAUUAAGCACUCCGCCUGGGGAGUACGACCGCAAGGUUGAAACUCAAAGGAAUUGACGGGGGCCCGCACAAGCGGUGGAGCAUGUGGUUUAAUUCGNAGGAUCUGCUCCUAGUACGAGAGGACCAGAGUGGACUUACCGCUGGUGUACCAGUUGUCUCGCCAGAGGCAUAGCUGGGUAGCUAUGUAGGGAAGGGAUAAGCGCUGAAAGCAUCUAAGUGCGAAGCCCUCCUCAAGAUGAGAUUUCCCAUAACGUUAAGUUAGUAAGAGCCCUGAGAGAUGAUCAGGUAGAUAGGUUAGGAGUGGACGUGUGGUGACACAUGGAGCGGACUAAUACUAAUAGCUCGAGGACUUAUCCAAAAGAUGAAACCAGUCGCUAUUGACAGCUUAAGGAAUUCUUGUUAGACUAUAGUUAUUCAAUUUUGAGUGGAGAAGACUCGUAAGUUAAGUGACGAUAGCCUAGGAGAUACACCUGUACCCAUGCCGAACACAGUAGUUAAGCCCUAGAACGCCUGAAGUAGUUGGGGGUUGCCCCCUGUGAGAUACGGAAGUUGCUUAGCUUAGAUCCACUUGGGGGAGUUUAGCUCAGCUGGGAGAGCAUCUGCCUUACAAGCAGAGGGUCAGCGGUUCGAUCCCGUUAACUCCCAUAAGUUAUGAAUAGGUCCCGUAGUGUAGCGG